rfam:Aspergillus aculeatus ATCC 16872 unplaced genomic scaffold ASPACscaffold_8, whole genome shotgun sequence.
GCCCCCGUGACGCAAUGGUAGCGUGCCAGACUUCUAAUCUGGAAGUUGCGAGUUCGAGCCUCGCCGGGGGCU